GUAGGGUCCAAGCGUUAAUCGGAAUUACUGGGCGUAAAGCGUGCGCAGGCGGUUGCAAGACCGAUGUGAAAUCCCCGGGCUUAACCUGGGAAUUGCAUUGGUGACUGCACGGCUAGAGUGUGUCAGAGGGGGGUAGAAUUCCACGUGUAGCAGUGAAAUGCGUAGAGAUGUGGAGGAAUACCGAUGGCGAAGGCAGCCCCCUGGGAUAACACUGACGCUCAUGCACGAAAGCGUGGGGGGAGCAAACAGGAUUAGAUACCCUGGUAGUCCACGCCCUAAACGAUGUCAACUAGUUGUUGGGGAUUCAUUUCCUUAGUAACGUAGCUAACGCGUGAAGUUGACCGCCUGGGGAGUACGGUCGCAAGAUUA
rnacentral:rRNA from 1 species